UACGUAGGGUGCAAGCGUUGUCCGGAAUUAUUGGGCGUAAAGAGCUCGUAGGCGGUCUGUCGCGUCUGCUGUGAAAACUCAGGGCUUAACCCUGAGCUUGCAGUGGGUACGGGCAGACUAGAGUGCGGUAGGGGAGACUGGAAUUCCUGGUGUAGCGGUGAAAUGCGCAGAUAUCAGGAGGAACACCGGUGGCGAAGGCGGGUCUCUGGGCCGUAACUGACGCUGAGGCACGAAAGCGUGGGGAUCAAACAGG
rnacentral:rRNA from 1 species